rnacentral:rRNA from 1 species
UACAGAGGGUGCAAGCGUUGUUCGGAAUCAUUGGGCGUAAAGGGCGUGUAGGCGGUCUGUUAAGUCAUGUGUGAAAUCCCUCGGCUCAACCGGGGAACGACGCAUGAAACUGACAAGCUAGAGUACCAAAGAGGGGGGUGGAAUUGCAGGUGUAGCGGUGAAAUGCGUAGAUAUCUGCAGGAACACCCGUGGCGAAAGCGGCGCGCUGGACCACUACUGACGCUGAGGAACGAAAGCUAGGGGAGCAAACAGG